UUUCUUUUUUUUCUUUUUCCCUUUUUUUUUUUUACUUUCUUCUCUUCCCCUUCUUCUGCCUUUUGGUUCCAUUUUGUUGGUGGUGGCCUUUGAUGGUGCACUGCUGCAUGUUAGGAUGUAUAGAAAGAAGGACUUGUUCUUCUUUCUACAUUUAUCUACCACUUAUCAUAUUAUAUUGUUAUGAUAAUAAUAAUGAUGAUAAUAACAUUUCUUACUGUAUAUACUACUCUACUACUAUAUUACUGUAUUUAAAAA
rnacentral:ribozyme from 1 species